rnacentral:rRNA from 1 species
GAGUUUGAUCUUGGCUCAGAACGAACGCUGGCGGCAUGCCUAACACAUGCAAGUCGAACGAACUCUUCGGAGUUAGUGGCGCACGGGUGCGUAACGCGUGGGAAUCUGCCCUUGGGUACGGAAUAACUCAGAGAAAUUUGUGCUAAUACCGUAUAAUGACUUCGGUCCAAAGAUUUAUCGCCCAAGGAUGAGCCCGCGUAAGAUUAGCUGGUUGGUGGGGUAAAGGCCUACCAAGGCUACGAUCUUUAGCUGGUCUGAGAGGAUGAUCAGCCACACUGGGACUGAGACACGGCCCAGACUCCUACGGGAGGCAGCAGUGGGGAAUAUUGGACAAUGGGCGAAAGCCUGAUCCAGCAAUGCCGCGUGAGUGAUGAAGGCCUUAGGGUUGUAAAGCUCUUUACCCGGAUGAUAAUGACAGUACCGGAGAAUAAGCUCCGGCUAACUCCGUGCCAGCAGCCGCCGUAAG